GCGCGGGUGGCGAAACGGCAGACGCACAGCCUUGAGGUGGCUGCGCCGCAAGGCGUGCAGGUUCAACUCCUGUCCCGCGCA
rfam:Candidatus Doudnabacteria bacterium RIFCSPHIGHO2_01_FTLL_49_9 rifcsphigho2_01_scaffold_10088, whole genome shotgun sequence.